rnacentral:siRNA from 1 species
UAUACGGGGUGAGUAAAUUAC